GACCUCCUGGUGCUUACCACAGGCUGUGUUUUUAUGCUGAGUAUAUACAAAAGGGAGGCAGAGAAAACCUAUCCUAUAGACACCCCAGCCCAGGCCUCCUGCCUGGACUGUAUUGUGAAUGGGGGCUAUGG
ensembl:snoRNA